rnacentral:rRNA from 1 species
AUACGGAGGAUGCGAGCGUUAUCCGGAUUUAUUGGGUUUAAAGGGUGCGCAGGCGGGCUGUUAAGUCAGCGGUGAAAGGCUCGGGCUCAACCGGAGCAGUGCCGUUGAUACUGGCAGUCUUGAAUGCGGUCAAGGCCGGCGGAAUGUGGCGUGUAGCGGUGAAAUGCAUAGAGAUGCCACAGAACACCGAUAGCGAAGGCAGCUGGCCGGGCCUGCAUUGACGCUCAGGCACGAAAGCGUGGGGAUCGAACAGGAUUAGAUACCCUGGUAGUCCACGCUGUAAACGAUGGACACUCGUUGUCGGCGACAGACAGUCGGCGGCCAAGCGAAAGUGAUAAGCGUCCCACCUGGGGAGUACGGUCGCAAGGCUGAAACUCAAAUGAAUUGGCGGGG